rnacentral:lncRNA from 1 species
GCCUUUAACAUUUGGGUAACCACUUGCUAAAUUUAACUUUUAACUAAUGCUUGCUGGUAAGAAUAAUCCUAAGCUAACUGAAGUUUUCAUUACCUUCCUAUCUAACAGCAUUCACCACAGUUUAACUCUUCAGCCCACCAAGAGAAUAAGCAAGACUAGUGGGCAAUUUUAUUUUCAUUGUAUAAUAUCAAUUUUAUUUACAUCCCAAGAAAGUAUGGAUGAAAAAUUACAGUUGAGCGGUUAGACUAAUGUGGUAUGUAGUAUUGCCUAAUACAUCAAGUUUUCUGCUAAUAGUAUUUCUAAAUCUAUUACCCUAUUAGAAUAGAAUUAAUAAUUUGCUAUGCAUGCAUAACAAUAGAAAUCAAGUUGGAAGCUUGUUUCUUCCAUAGGUCUUCUGCACUGUCACUGUUCAAAACAAGGUCUCUUUCAACAAAAUGCCCACAUCCGACGAGUGAUGUUGAAAUGUUAAGUGAUUUGUAAUUCCUAAUAAUAACUUUCGUUUUGUUAAGUCUCUUUUUUCUGCCCAUUAGCAUCCUUCAAAGCUUUAAUGAUCCAUGUAAUUAAAUUACAAUCCAGAAUGAGAACUUUCUGGAAACAUAUAAUACUAGAAAUAUAGAUUUUGAUUAAAAUCAAAGCAAUGUAACUUAAAGACAAAUGUCUAAAUGUCAUUAAAAUUGGGGGAGCCUGGGCCUAAAACAAGUGCUUCUGAUAAAGAAGCGAAUUGAAGAUGUGUAAGAGGGCAGAGAACCACACCCCUGAGGCCAAGGUCAAGAUUAAUUCACUUUCUAACUAAGACAGAUGAGAAUCAUUGCACAGGAGCCCACAGAGAUGAGGGCCAUGCAUCAAACCCUGAUGCCUAUGGAUCCCAAAUGCUUCUAAUAGCCACUAAAAAUUCAUCAAUUCCGUUUCAGAGGAGCAGUCUUAAUGAACAAGAAGCAGGGCUCAGAUGAGAAGUUUCAGCCUGAGGUCUCAUGCCAC